rnacentral:rRNA from 1 species
GACGAACGCUGGCGGCGUGCCUAAUACAUGCAAGUCGAACGCUUCUUUCCUCCCGAGUGCUUGCACUCAAUUGGAAAGAGGAGUGGCGGACGGGUGAGUAACACGUGGGUAACCUACCCAUCAGAGGGGGAUAACACUUGGAAACAGGUGCUAAUACCGCAUAACAGUUUAUGCCGCAUGGCAUAAGAGUGAAAGGCGCUUUCGGGUGUCGCUGAUGGAUGGACCCGCGGUGCAUUAGCUAGUUGGUGAGGUAACGGCUCACCAAGUCCACGAUGCAUAGCCGACCUGAGAGGGUGAUCGGCCACACUGGGACUGAGACACGGCCCAGACUCCUACGGGAGGCAGCAGUAGGGAAUCUUCGGCAAUGGACGAAAGUCUGACCGAGCAACGCCGCGUGAGUGAAGAAGGUUUUCGGAUCGUAAAACUCUGUUGUUAGAGAAGAACAAGGACGUUAGUAACUGAACGUCCCCUGACGGUAUCUAACCAGAAAGCCACGGCUAACUACGUG